rnacentral:rRNA from 1 species
GUCACCUACGGGACGCAGCAGUGGGGAAUAUUGGGCAAUGGGCGCAAGCCUGACCCAGCAACGCCGCGUGAAGGAAGAAGGCUUUCGGGUUGUAAACUUCUUUUCUCAGGGACGAAGCAAGUGACGGUACCUGAGGAAUAAGCCACGGCUAACUACGUGCCAGCAGCCGCGGUAAUACGUAGGUGGCAAGCGUUAUCCGGAUUUACUGGGUGUAAAGGGCGUGUAGGCGGGAAAGCAAGUCAGAUGUGAAAACCACGGGCUCAACUUGUGGCCUGCAUUUGAAACUGUUUUUCUUGAGUACUGGA